rnacentral:rRNA from 1 species
AGUUCGAUUCUGUCGGUCGGAACGCUGGCGGGAUGCUUUACAUGCAAGUCGAACAGCCAGCGCCUGGACUUCAGUCUGAGUGGCGAGUGGCGAACGGUGAAGUAAUGUAUCAGAACGUGCCUAAUGGCGGGGGAUAACGCAAAGCGUAGCUAAUACCGCAUACGCCCUUCGAGGAAAAGCGGGGGACCUUCGGGCCUCGCACUAUUAGAGCGGCCGAUAUCAGUUAGCUAGUUGGUGGGGUAACAGCUCAACAGGCGACGAUCAUAGCUGGUUUGAGAGGACGACCAGCCACUGGGACUGAGACACAGCCCAGACUCCUACAGGAGAACAGCAGUGAUUUUGGACAAUAGAAGCCCCGUCAAGCCAUCCGCGUGUGCGAUGAAGGCCUUCGGGUUGUAAAGCACUUUUUGGCAGGAAAGAAACGGCACGGGAUAAUACCCCAAUACAACUGACAAUGCCAUACAGAAUAAGCACCGAUUAACUACGUGCCAGCAGCGCGGUAAUACGUAAGUGCAAGCGUUAAUCGGAAUUACUGGGCGUAAAGCGUGCGCAGGCGGUUCCGGAAGGAAGAAAGAUGUGAAAUCCCAGGCUUAACUUUGGAACUGCAUUUUAACUUCGAGCUAGAGUGUGUCAGAGGAGGUGGAAUUCCGCGUGUAGCAGUGAAAUGCGUAGAUAUGCGGAGGAACACCGAUGGCGAAGGCAGCCUCCUGGGAUAACACUGACGCUCAUGCGCGAAAGCGUGGGAGCAAGCAGGAUUAGAUACCCUGGUAGUCCACGCCCUAGAAGCGAUGUCAACUGGCUAUUUGAGGCCUUCGGGCCUUGGUAAAGCGACUAACGCGUGAAGUUGACCGCCUGGGGAGUACGGUCACAAGAUUAAAACUCAAAGGAAUUGACGGAGACCUGGCGGUGGAUGAUGUGGAUUAAUUCGAUGCAACGCGAAAAACCUUACCUACCGCGCCGGUAUGUCUAAAUCCCGAAGAGAUUUAGGAGUGCUCGCAGAGAACCGGAACUGGGUGCUGCAUGGCUGUCGUCAGCUCGUGUCGUGAGAUGUUGGGUUAAGUCCGCAACGAGCGCAACCCUUGUCAUUAGUUGCUACGAAAGGGCACUCUAAUGAGACUGCCGGUGACAAACCGGAGGAAGGUGGGGAUGACGUCAAGUCCUCAUGGCCCAUAUGGGUAGGGCUUCACACGUCAUACAAUGGUCAGGACAGAGAGGUCGCCAACCCGCGAGAGGCAAUCCCAGAAACUGAUCGUAGUCCGGAUCGCAGUCUGCAACUCGGCUGGCGAGUCGGAGCUCGCUAGUAAUCGCGGAUCAGCAUGUCGCGGUGAAUACGUUCGGUCAUUGUACGCACCGCCCGUCACACCAUGGGAGUGGGUUUUACCAGAAGUAUAACCGUAAGGAGGGCGAUUACCACGGUAGGAUUCAUGACUGGGGUGAAGUCGUAACGGGUAA